GCCUGUCCAGCAGGAGUUAGCCACAGGGAGGGUCGCGCUGCUGGGCUUAGCUGUGGGGUGGCAGUGGCCAGUUUAGGGCUUCAGAGGGCAGACGGGGGAGAUGACAGAGUUAGACGAGACAGGGGGCGUGGGGGUACAAGGAACAGGAAGGUCGAGGAGGAGACCAGGUUUGGGGGGCGGCUGUGCUGGGCAGAGCUGCGUUGGAAGUGCCCGCAGUCGCCCAGGGGGAGGACAACCGUCUAGGCCAGGCUGUCGCUGCCGCCCGCUGGGGAUGGGCACUUGGCCUCUGGGAGGACGCCGCUCCUGCGCGGGCUGAGCGGUCCCCCAGUGCCUUGGUCUCUGUGGAAGGAGGAAGGCAGUGAGAGACAGGAGGAGGUGGAAUUGGGCAGUUGAUGCCCUGAGAAUGAUCGGGAAGGAAGGCAGUGGGGUGCAGGGCCGCAGGUGGGCCGGGAGGACAGACCUUGACCUUGUCAGUACCAGCAGCCCCCUUUUUUCCCCAGACAGAGGGUUGUGAACCCGCCCGGGGAUGAGGCCUGGUGUUGUGGAAACCGCACUUAGCUUCGCGGGCCGGACAGCUCUGGCCCCGGGUGGUGGCAGCGCUCCCCUUUGGACUUUCCCUCUGGGUUCGGUGCUAACCUCUUCUGUGAGCUUGCUCUGCCCCUCCUCCUCCCUUUAACUCUGUCAAGGUUAUCACUUCACUUAAAACCUUGCUUCUGGUAACCUGGUAAGCCUGGGAAAGUUGCUGAAGUCCCUGUUGGAGUCGGUAUUGUUGGUAAUCGCAAGGAGGAAGGGCCUUCCCGCUGAGACUGGGGUGGGGCGGGUUGGUGUUGCUUGCUGGUGGAGAGGGUGGGGAUCGAGCCCACCCUUGGGUGGGCCCGCAGCUGUGGCUCCAGCCGAAAGUUACAAAAAUGCCUCAUGGACCGUGGUUUGUUAUAGUGUUCAUCAUGGCGACCAGAUGGCACCAGGAGAAAUGGAGCCCCUGGCCAGUGUGAGUCAUAGCAGUGCAGGAGGGGAGACCCUGGAGGAGAGAGCCCGCCUAAACGGAUGCCUGCAGAUUGAAUUUCCAGAGGCUUAGGAGGAGGAAAUUUUCCAGUGUCGUGUUUCCAGGCCUUGCUCAGGAAGCCCUGUAUUCAGGAGGCCAUCACUUCGGGUUUUCAGAUGAGCUUGAGGGGGCAAUCUUAAGUCCAAA